UUCUUUUUGAUUUUAUAAAAAGUAAUCCCUGCUCAAUGAUUUAUUAAAUAGCUGCAGAUUUCUGUACUAAGGUAGCAUAAUCAAUUGUGUUGUUAAUUGCGGACUAGUAUGAAUGGGAUAAUUAUUAAAUGCUUUAUUGUAUUUUUUUGUUAAAAUUUGAUUUUCAGUUAAAAUACUGAGAUUGUUUUUAGGGACGAGAAGACCCUAUAAAGCUUAUAUAAAUGUUUGGAUAUUAUUUAUUUUAACUUUAUUUAAAUUGGGGCAAUUUUUUAAAAAAUAUAAAAUUAAAAGAAGAUCAUUAAUAAUAAAUGAGCCAUUAAUAAUGAAAUAAGAAAAAGUUACUUUAGGGAUAACAGCAUAAUUUUUUUUUUGAAGAACUUAUUUAAAAUAUUGAUUAUGACCUCGAUGUUGGAUUAAUUUAAACAUUAGGUGAAGGAGCUUAAAUGUUAUGACUGUUCGUCAUUUAAAUAAUUACA
rnacentral:rRNA from 1 species